CCGAGCAACCACAGGUCGCAGCCGUUGCUCGUCCACACCUGCGCGCGCCACCGCAGCUUGCCUUGAACACGCCUGUGUGCGCAUCCGCAGAUCGCCGCAGGUACUCGCCCACGCCUACCACGCCGGCGCAGCCCACCCUCGCCUUGCCGAUGCUUGCGCGAGACACUGCAGCCCGCCGCCGGUGCUCGUGCACGUCUGCACGUGCCGGUGCAGCCUGGCAGGUGCCUGCGCGAGCCACCACAGCUCGCUGCCGGUGCUGGCCCUCCCCUUCGCGCGUUGGCGUAGCUUGUCCCGAGAGCCAAGACAUACGAGGGCAGCGUUGAACAACAGCUCCAGUGGCGUGAUUGUAGCACCGGCUGGAGGAGAUGGCUGCGUGUACAUGUUGUGAAGACGGGAUGCAAGCAACCUUGUAUGUGAAGAUAGGAAAAAGGAAUUGCAGUCAGAGGAGAGUGUACGUUUACCUUCCACAAAAUACAAUCACAGACACAAUGAAAGCGUCGCCGAGGAGAUCGGCGGCACGCAGGGUGGACGAAAUCGGCGGCGGCGAGAAGAUCAAUGUCACGCGGCGUCGAGGAGAUGGGGUUGGCGUCCAGAGGUUGACGAAGACGUGGAUACGGCAAGCACGUUAUUCUCGGCGGGCUGCACGCUCUCGUCUUUCAAAUGCGCUAAUUAGAUGCCAAGUACGUGUAGAUAACAUCAGGGGCAGUUUAGUCUUUUCCGGUGCCGGUAAAUGGGAAAAGAAAAAGGGAAAUCUGUAAAAGGGGUGGAAUGGCAUGUUAAUCAAAGUACACAUGAGCUGGGUGGCAUUUUUACGAA